rnacentral:rRNA from 1 species
ACUGAACGCUGGCGGCAGGCCUAACACAUGCAAGUCGAGCGGAUGAAGGGAGCUUGCUCCUGGAUUCAGCGGCGGACGGGUGAGUAAUGCCUAGGAAUCUGCCUGGUAGUGGGGGAUAACGUCCGGAAACGGGCGCUAAUACCGCAUACUUCCUGAGGGAGAAAGUGGGGGAUCUUCGGACCUCACGCUCUCAGAUGAGCCCAGGUCGGAUUAGCUAGUUGGUGGGGUAAAGGCCUACCAAGGCGACGAUCCGUAACUGGUCUGAGAGGAUGAUCAGUCACACUGGAACUGAGACACGGUCCAGACUCCUACGGGAGGGAGCAGUGGGGAAUAUUGGAGAAGGGGCGGAAGCCUGAUCAAGACAUGCCGCGUGUGUGAAGAAGGUCUUCGGAUUGUAAAGCACGUUCAGUUGGGAGGAAGGGCAGUAAGUUAAUACCUUGCUGUUUUGACGUUACCAACAUAAUAAGCACCGGCUAACUUCGUG